CCGGUCUUACCGCAGUCCGAUAAAACUUUCCCUUUAGCUUGAUCGGUACCUUUGCAUCACAUAACACCCCCGAUGUUUUUCUCCAUUUCAUCCAUCCUGCUUGAAUGCGAUGAUUCACAUCCCCUUCAAUUUCUCCAUCAUCCUAUAUUACAGACCCAAGAUAUUUAAACCGUGUGACUUGAGGGAUAAUAUGGUCUCCUAUUUUCACCUCUGAGUUAGAUACCCUCCUACUUUUGUUGAACUUACAUUCCAUAUACUCCGAUUUGC
rnacentral:lncRNA from 1 species